rnacentral:rRNA from 1 species
GAUGAACGCUGGCGGCGUGCCUAAUACAUGCAAGUCGAGCGAACAGACGAGGAGCUUGCUCCUCUGACGUUAGCGGCUGACGGGUGAGUAACACGUGGAUAACCUACCUAUAAGACUGGGAUAACUUCGGGAAACCGGAGCUAAUACCGGAUAAUAUAUUGAACCGCAUGGUUCAAUAGUGAAAGACGGUUUUGCUGUCACUUAUAGAUGGAUCCGCGCCGCAUUAGCUAGUUGGUAAGGUAACGGCUUACCAAGGCAACGAUGCGUAGCCGACCUGAGAGGGUGAUCGGCCACACUGGAACUGAGACACGGUCCAGACUCCUACGGGAGGCAGCAGUAGGGAAUCUUCCGCAAUGGGCGAAAGCCUGACGGAGCAACGCCGCGUGAGUGAUGAAGGUAUUCGGAUCGUAAAACUCUGUUAUUAGGGAAGAACAAAUGUGUAAGUAACUAUGCACGUCUUGACGGUACCUAAUCAGAAAGCCACGGCUAACUACGUG